AGCGAACGCGGGCGGCAUGCCUAAUACAUGCAAGUCGAACGAGAUCUUCGGAUCUAGUGGCGCACGGGUGCGUAACGCGUGGGAAUCUGCCCUUGGGUUCGGAAUAACUUCUGGAAACGGAAGCUAAUACCGGAUGAUGACGUAAGUCCAAAGAUUUAUCGCCCAAGGAUGAGCCCGCGUAGGAUUAGCUAGUUGGUGAGGUAAAGGCUCACCAAGGCGACGAUCCUUAGCUGGUCUGAGAGGAUGAUCAGCCACACUGGGACUGAGACACGGCCCAGACUCCUACGGGAGGCAGCAGUAGGGAAUAUUGGACAAUGGGCGAAAGCCUGAUCCAGCAAUGCCGCGUGAGUGAUGAAGGCCUUAGGGUUGUAAAGCUCUUUUACCCGGGAUGAUAAUGACAGUACCGGGAGAAUAAGCUCCGGCUAACUCCGUGCCAGCCGCCGCCGUAAUAC
rnacentral:rRNA from 1 species